rnacentral:lncRNA from 1 species
GAAGGCGAUCGGCUUUGUGGCGAGAGCUGGGCGUUCACUGCCUGCCGGCUGCCAGAGGCCAUCAGGGCAGAAGUUUCAGUUCAUGCUCUGCCUGCAGUUGAACACAAAGACCUGGGGGAGACUCCCACAUCCUUCGGGGAGGAGAAAGGAGGCGGCGGCAGAGCAGAUUAAAGGAACUUGGGGCUUGUGGCCUUCCCGAGCCGGGCC